AUUAGGAUCCCAGCUAAAUCAGAGUUUUCCAGUGCUGUUACAUAUGAUCCCAUUGUUCAAAAAUUUAUCAACAUACUCAUGAGAGACGGUAAAAAGGAAAAGACAAGAGAAAUCAUUGAACAGGUUUUGGAAAACAUUAAAAUGAAACAAAUAGAAAACUACCACAAAGCAACUACGGAUGCAGAGAAGGCUAUGGUGGUCACUGAUCCUUUAAAGGUCUUCCAUGGUGCUGUAGAAAAUUGUAAACCGCUGCUGAUUCUAAAGACUAUCGUAAAAGGAGGAAGUGGCUACAGAGUUCCAGUGUACUGCCAUGAAAGAAGACGACUGCGAGUUGGAAUAAAUUUCAUCAUUAAGACUUGUGACACAAGAAAGCGAAAAGUUCCCUUGUCAACAGUUCUCGCAACAGAGAUUUUACAAGCUUACAAUAAUGAAGGUAAUGCAGUUGGAAAAAAGCACCAGCUCCAUAAAGAAUGUGAAGCACAGCGAGCAUUUGCACAUUACAGAUGGAAAUAAUGACUUAAUAAUAAAUCA
rnacentral:misc_RNA from 1 species